rnacentral:rRNA from 1 species
UACGGGAGGCAGCAGUGGGGAAUAUUGCACAAUGGGCGCAAGCCUGAUGCAGCCAUGCCGCGUGUAUGAAGAAGGCCUUCGGGUUGUAAAGUACUUUUCAGUCGUGAGGAAGGUGUUAAGGUUAAUAACCUUAGCAAUUGACGUUAGCGACAGAAGAAGCACCGGCUAACUCCGUGCCAGCAGCCGCGGUAAUACGGAGGGUGCGAGCGUUAAUCGGAAUUACUGGGCGUAAAGGGCACGCAGGCGGUUAAUUAAGUUGGAUGUGAAAUCCCCGGGCUUAACCUGGGAAUGGCAUUCAAGACUGGUUAGCUAGAGUCUUGUAGAGGGGGUAGAAUUCCGAUGUGUAGCGGUGAAAUGCGUAGAGAUGUGGAGGAAUACCGGUGGCGAAGGCGGCCCCUGGACAAAGGCUGACGCUCAUGUGCGAAAGCGUGGGGAGCAAACAGGGAUUAGAUACC